rnacentral:rRNA from 1 species
AACGAACGCUGGCGGCAUGCCUAACACAUGCAAGUCGAACGAGACCUUCGGGUCUAGUGGCGCACGGGUGCGUAACGCGUGGGAACCUGCCCUUAGGUUCGGAAUAACUCCCCGAAAGGGGUGCUAAUACCGGAUAAUGUCUUCGGACCAAAGAUUUAUCGCCUUUGGAUGGGCCCGCGUUGGAUUAGCUAGUUGGUAGGGUAAAAGCCUACCAAGGCGACGAUCCAUAGCUGGUCUGAGAGGAUGAUCAGCCACACUGGGACUGAGGCACGGCCCAGACUCCUACGGGAGGCAGCAGUGGGGAAUAUUGGACAAUGGGCGAAAGCCUGAUCCAGCAAUGCCGCGUGAGUGAUGAAGGCCUUAGGGUUGUAAAGCUCUUUUACCCGGGAUGAUAACGACAGUACCGGGAGAAUAAGCUCCGGCUAACUCCGUG